rnacentral:tRNA from 1 species
AAUUAAUAAGCUUUUAUAGUGUAUGUCUUGAAAACAUAAGAAAGAAGUAAAGUUUUUUAUUAAUUU